AUGAGGGUAAUAGCAAGAGGGCAGGCCUGGCUCUUGGGUCCUAGCUAUGGCUGCUGCCCCUUAGUUUGGUGCUGGGGCCAGCCCUGGCCUGUGUUGUGCCUCUCCUUGCUCCAGGCCUGGUCUCUCCUGGGCUCUUCAGAGCUGUGGCUUGUAUCUGAAAUGCUUCUUCACUGGAGAAAACUUCUCUGUUUCUCAUCAGAGUACAUCAAAUGCAGCACUCCUUCUGGAAGCAUGGAAAUAUAUUAAUCUUGGUUCAUACUCCCAAACCAUCUUUCAUCCAGUGAUCUCCUAUUACAAAAAAUUGAAGCCUCAAGACAUAACAUUUCUGUGAAAUAUGUAAGAAAGAUGCAGGGGUCACUUCACACAGCACUGAUAUGCAGUCACCUUUGGAACAGAAACUGGCAGUUGUUUAGCUGUGUGCUCUCUGAUGAGCACUAUAUCCAGCUGAAGCUUUGUUCUGAUUUUAGGGAGCUGAGAGAGUAUUAGUGCUGGCACUGGACUGGCAUGUUUAGG
rnacentral:lncRNA from 1 species